CUAUGCUUAUGAGGAGCUUCCGUAAAAAUUAAGUACAGGAGAUAUUUUCAAUGCAUAGUAGAAUGUGCGUAUGAGGCGUCUUAUGCUUGUAAGGAGCAGAUCCGGUCUCGAAGGAAUUGCUAUUUGCUAAUCGCUAAACUUGCGAGAGAAGAAAUCUGCUGCGACCAUGGUCGCAUGCGACCCACAAUGGAUUAAAUUGCUGGCAUUUCCCAUUCCUGAAUCCUGAUUCCCCCAGCAAAUAGGGAAAAGCUAAAGCAGUUUCUCACUUUGUCUUUCUCAGGUGGGAGCAGGGCCAACCAAGCACCCAACCAUUCCAAAUUCCUAAACGAGCCCAGCACUCCAGCAGCGCGUGUGUUGGCGUUGGUUACCAAUGCUUUAUUUAUUUAUUAAUACAUUUUUCAUUUCUUUGUUUAUUUGUCAUCACUGAAAAAUCAAAAUAGGUAAAGCAAACCGCCAUUAAGACCCCAAAAUUCUUGCAUGGAGACAUGAGAUGAGAAUGAAAUCCUCCCUGAUUUUUUUUUUUUUAUUUCAGACUGCCCAGAAAAAAUGGUGGAGUUUUUUUAAGGUAUUUUUUAAAUGGGGCUAUGGCUAUAGAGAGUGAAGAAAAAAUGGUGGAGUUUUUCAAAUUUUUUUUCAUUAUUUAAGCAUGUUAAAUGUUGUUUUCCAUGAUUUCUUGCAGUACCAGAAAAGUCCUGAAAAGGGUCUUCGAUUUGAAAGGGGUUCUUUCUAGGGUUUUGCCCACUAAAUAUCCCCACCUUUUCUUCUCUAUCUGUAUUUACUGUUUCUUUUUAUGGGUUCAGCGUUGAACUAUUACGCUUUUAGUUUUGGUUUUAACAGUCACUUUUAGUUAAUCGUAGCUUGCUCUCAGCUUCACUUCAGACAUAGUUCAAUUCUGCUCCACAAAAGCCAGAACCACCAAAGAACAUUUUUCCUUCUUUUAUUUUCCCAUUUUCCUUUUCUGUACAAGCCUCCCUAGAUCCCGUUUAUCACUCUCCCCGGUUUUGGUGAAGCGAAAAAUCAUUUUUUUAUACAAGGUUUGUGUUGGUAGCUCUGCAACUUUUACUGUUCUAAGUUGCAGAACCACGAAACCCAGAAUAACUGUUGUGUUUUGAACAAAUAAACUUUAAUAAAAAUCUCAUCUUUCACUCUCCUAUGCCUUGGAGCAUCAAAAUAAAUCUCUUUCUCCAACCUUUCUUUUCUCUAAGUUUCUUUCCGCUUUUAGUGCUCUCAGUCUCCGCAAGUUUCUCAUCUGCCUUUAGUGCUCUCAGUCUCCGCAAGUUUCUCAUCUGCCUUUAGUGCUCUCAGUCUCAGUCUCAGUCUCCGCAAGUAGCACAACACUUGAACAACAAAAAAGUUUCAGCUUUUAGACCUCGAUUUGUAGGAAGGUAAAAAAGGAAGAAUCGGUCUUGUGAGUUGUAGUGAAAUGUCAAUGCCAUUAGAGCAGCAGCAACCGCCACCCAUGGUUGUUAAUCAGCAGGCUUUCAGCAGUCACUCGAGUCACGGAUCAGUCGGGCCACUGAUUGCCGUUCUUGCCGUGAUAACAAUCUUGGGAGUUGUGGCCGGGAUGAUUGGACGACUCUGCUCAGGAAGGAGUAUCAUGGGCCAUGGGCAAUACGAUUUCGAAGGAUGGGUGGAGAGAAAGUGCUCAUCUUGCAUCGACGGGAGGAUCGAUCCCCCCCCACCACCACCUCCUAAUACGAACGUCGCCGGCGACUCCAUCCCGAUAGCAAUUCCAGUCGGAACUCCUAAGCAGACAGAACAGCCUCCUCAGAACCCACCUACAGCCAUUGAUUCCUGACAUGGGGGCCGCUGGUCUCUCCUCUACCUGGGAUUUUCACCAUCAUUUUCUUGCCUUAUACAUACAUGUCAGGAGAAUGAGCAGAUGGUGAGAUGAUGAAGUUGGGUUGUUUUUCUUUUUUAUAAUUUUUUUUUCUUUCUUUCAUGGAUGGAAGAGAAUUACACAAGUCGAGUUUCUAUCUUUCUUUCUCUUUUUUUUUCUAAUUUCUUUUACGGUUUGUCUACUUUCUAGAUACCCAAUCACCAUUACCAAUAGACCUAUCAUGGCUACUUGGGCUGUAAUUUUUUCCUGGAUUCGUUCCCAUUAUCAGAUCAUUGCCUCCAUCCAUCCAUCACCUUAAAUUUAACUAAUCCUAGAAAUUAGAAAUUAUUAUCUUAUUAGUUUUCCUGCUAUGUCUUGAUAAAAAUUGGAAGAAACAAAUUGCAUCAGUGCCUGCUCAUUUUGAGAGGUUGAGA